rnacentral:rRNA from 1 species
UUGCGGUUAAAAAGCUCGUAGUUGGAUUUCUGCUGAGUACGACCGGUCCGCCCUCUGGGUGAGUAUCUGGCUCGGCCUUGGCAUCUUCUUGGGGAACGUAACUGCACUUGACUGUGUGGUGCGGUAUCCAGGACUUUUACUUUGAGGAAAUUAGAGUGUUUCAAGCAGGCGCACGCCUUGAAUACAUUAGCAUGGAAUAAUAAGAUAGGACCUUGGUUCUAUUUUGUUGGUUUCUAGAGCUGAGGUAAUGAUUAAUAGGGAUAGUUGGGGGCAUUCGUAUUUAACUGUCAGAGGUGAAAUUCUCGGAUUUGUUAAAGACGGACUACUGCGAAAGCAUUUGCCAAGGAUGUUUUCAUUGAUCAAGAACGAAAGUUAGGGGAUCGAAGACGAUCAGAUACCGUCCUAGUCUUAACCAUAAACCAUGCCGACUAGAGAUUGGAGGUCGUUAACUAUACGACUCCUUCAGCACCUUAUGAGAAAUCAAAGUCUUUGGGUUCCGGGGGGAGUAUGGUCGCAAGGCUGAAACUUAAAGGAAUUGACGGAAGGGCACCACCAGGAGUGGAGCCUGCGGCUUAAUUUGACUCAACAC